AAGAAGAGGAGUGCUACAAAAGAGUGGGGUAGCUGGGUGAAGAGAGAGAUGGAGUUUGUUGGCUGUGUUAUGGAGAAGUAGUGCUGCAAGGAGAUGCCCAUGAGAAAUCACCAAGAAGGUAAUAGGAGAUGAAGCAGCAUUCCAAUCCUGCAGACCUCAGCAAGUUUCAUUCCUCCUCAGAAGGCUGAAUAUAUGCUCAAGAGUGCAUUUCAAUUCCUAUUAUUACACAGAAGAGCCAAAGGCAGUCCCUGGAUGUGGUCCUUGCAUGUUCAGUGUCACUGCAGGUUCCUUGUGAGCCCUCUGCAGUCUGUGCAUCCAUGAUGCAACCUUAGAGUGCUUAAAAGUUGCAUCAAAUAGCAGCCAGCCAUGGGGUAUUUGUAGUUUUUACAGCCAUGUUGCUCUGUCAAGGUAACUUCUGCAGUUUCUCUUAAUACCUGUGAGUGCCUGAGUGCUUUCCCUGUUUGCUUUGGUUUUCAUAUGCUGUAGGUCGUUUCUGACUUCAAGAAGAAAUAAAACCUGGUUUCUCCACUCACACUCACUGAUCCAUCUCUGUCUACAACAUAUGAGACAUACAGUGUUGUCUGGAAGGAAAAUAUCUCACGCUGCUUCUCAAGUUUUUUUGUGAAAUGCUCGGUGCCUUGUUUUUUCUUUUUUUUCUUCUCCCCUUUUCUCUGAGGAGCAGAUUUUUCAGAGCAGAGUAGGCUGAGGGUUUGAAGAGUACAAUGUAAUGGUAUCAAAAUGACUCAACUGGCUCCUUCUGCUAAGUCAGAGCCCACUGCUCCAUUCUAUAACCCAGAGAGAAAUCUAAGACAAGCCAACCACCACUCAGCACUGCCAUGUAAAAAAUAAGGAGAUGUGAGAGACCUGUCAUCUUGCUAGAAGAAUAAUAAUCUUUCAACUUCUCUUCAUUUAGAUAUCUCUUUACUUUUUUGGGAGUCACUUAAUCAUAGGAGAUUAAAACAUAUGCCAUAUGUAUAAGUAAUGCUGUUCCAGGGAUUUAAUGGGAGCAGACUGAUUAAAUCCUAUCAAGGAUACAGUUGUCAUCAGAACUGUCUUGAGAAAAUGAA